rnacentral:misc_RNA from 1 species
GAUGAAGAACGCAGCGAAAUGCGAUAAGUAUUGUGAAUUGCAGAAUUCAGUGAAUCAUCGAAUCUUUGAACGCACAUUGCGCCCUUUGGUAUUCCUUAGGGCAUGCCUGUUCGAGCGUCAUUUAAACCUUCAAGCUCAGCUUGGUGUUGGGUGACUGUCCGCCGCCUCCGGGCGCGUGGACUCGCCUCAAAAUUAUUGGCGGCCGGUACAUUGGCUUCGAGCGCAGCAGAAACGCGAACUCGGGCCCGUCGUAUUGGCUCCCAGAAGCUAUCUUCACAAUUUUGACCUCGGAUCAGGUAGGGAUACCCGCUGAACUUAAGCAUAUCAAUAAGCGGAGGA